AUUGUGUUAUACACGGGUGCUUACAUCCGAGUAGUGUUGAUCUUUUCUGAGGUCCAUGGGUUUAUCCAACGAGCAGCUAAGUCACCGUUAUAUCUUUAAUUUUGUGUGCAACAUCUUAAUGCAAAAAAAAAAUCCCAAAUCAAAGCAACGAAACAUAAACUAAACAACAAAAAACACAAUGCAUUUUUAAGCUCUCUCUGCGUUCACAGCCUCUGCAAAUGUCAAACUUCCUCACUUUAGCUGAUGCUAACCAACAUUAGCGCUUACGGUUCGUAUUUAAGCUCAACUGUCAGCCCUUCACUUUUGGUGCCGACAACAUUUUGAGCAUUUUCUACAGUUUGUGAAAUGGUCGUCAUUGGCAUUACAUGCCAGUAGUGUUCGCUAACUGACUUUACCGGGGAUUAUAUUUAUUACAACGUUACUGCGUGGAAGUGGUCAUAGUGUAUGCUUAUAAAAGACAGUGAAGUGUCUGACACUGACUAUGUACCAGUGCCUGAGAACACUGGUAUGGAGGGGGGAGAACGCACCUCUUUACUGCAUUUGUCGGAAACCAGACAUCAACUGCUUCAUGAUCCUUUGCCAUGAUAAAUUGGUCAGUUUACAACCAGGAGCCGUACACCUUAACCUCAGAGGCCAGGACAUCCAGGGGCAGUGUGAACACACACUUCUUUAAAUGGGAUGCAAGACGGACUAUAGAGGGCCACCCCCUCGCCAGACAACCAAGUGCUGUCCCUGUCCACGGCCAGUGUGAGAAGGACUCUCACUAAAGUCAACCCACACAAAGCUGCUGGACCAGACAAUAUACCCGGACGUGUGCUCGGAGCUUGUGCUGACCAGCUGACUGAUGUCCUAGCGGGCAUCUUUAACAUCUCCCUGAGUCAAGCUGUUGUGCCAAGUGCUUUAAAACCACCACCAUCUUACCUGUACCAAAGACAGCUACAGCCUCGCAGUUCGAAGACAAUGGACGAUGCGAUCUCAUUGGCACUCCACCUAGCCCUAUCACAACUGGAUCAAUGCAACGUCCACCUAAGAAUGCUGUUCACUGAUUUCAUCUUAGCAUUCAACACCAUCAUUGCCCAGCAGCUGAUCGGCAAGCUGGACCGGCUCAGACUUAACACCUCCACCUGCAACAGGAUCCUGGUCUUUCUUACUGAUGGACCCCAGACAGUACAGGUUGGAAAUAUAAGAUCCAACACCAUCACACUGAGCACAGCCCCCCCCCCAGGGAUGUGUGCUGAGCCCGCUACUCUUCACGCUGCUGACCCACGACUGCACCUCCAGCUCCAACAUGUGAUGAGUCAAUGUUGUGAUUGUUUGUGAUUUAUGUGGGACUCCUCCCACCAAAGGAUGGCUGUGGGUUUUUUGUUUCUCUUCUCUCUCUCAGGUGUGUACACCUAGGUGUGUCUUACUGGAGUCCAGCGCCUGCUGAGUCAUUGGGUGGAAUUCAUUCCUGUUCUGGGAUUGAAUAGUUGGUUGAUCACCCCAGUAGUGAUGAC